UCGAUUAGUCGCUCAGUCUGCUUAAAUCUCACUGCCUUUCCGCGCGGCGCUUCAGACGUUGAAAGUGGAUUCCACGAAUGUGCUAUUCUUAUGAUCGUUUGAAAAUGGUAUUAGCUCUCUGGGUGUAUAUACAAUAGUAGUAGUGGGAAUUACUCUUGCUUCAUGAAAAUUAAUAAAUGGAUAUGAACUUUCAUACCGGUAGGAAAAUUUGAUUUGACUCAAUCAUUUUACUUUAAGGGUCGUCUAAUAGAAAAAAUUAUGAUAACAUAUGGUUUGACAAACUGAACGAAUGGAUACUAUUCAAAAGCGAGUUAAGAUGUUUUAAUGAUAUUUUGAUAUUUUCUUUCUUCAUUUGCAAACGUAAUGUUGUAAUAUACUGUAUGUGAGAAAGAAAGUGACAAAAUUUGAUACUUAAGUAUAAAUGAAUAUCCAAUUGUUCAGUGGAUAAACAUAUUGAAAGAAGCGGAAUUCCUCACAGACAGGUAUGAUGCACCUAACUGUAUUUACGUGAACUUAUCUGUUCUUAACGUAUGACAACAUAUAAAGACAGUUACAGCAACUUUGACAUCAAGACAAUCACAACCGUUCAACUUGAAGAGCUGUUCCUUUUACAUCAAGCCACAUGAUUUGCCGACGGAAAUCAGCUGCCCUUUGAAUUCCAUGAAAGCCAGUUGCACAUUUCAAUACCUCUCAAAGACAGACUUCAUCAGGUCGAAAUGGCAGUAUUUACUACAAGUACACACAACCUAUAUAUUGUUCAGUCGAUGUUGUUACAAAAUUCUGCUUACAACAUAUGACGUGUCCGGUUGACAACCGGCAUAAAACGUCGAGAAAACAGAAUUAAAAGCUAACGAGAUUGGGGUUAAUACCAGAGGCAUUCACAAGCCUAACGAUGAUCGUCAAGUGUUCGACCCGUGUUUGUUGUUUUUCGCUAAUUACUUGAAACGUUCGUUAUUCUUAAAUCUUUACGGAAACUGUCGUUUUGAAAAGAUGACCUCGGAAAUUAAUUUUGAGUGUUCUUUAUAUUAUGAUAUCGCUACGUCCAUCUUUCUGUCUGAAAAUAUGCCAGUCUGUGUUUUGUUUUCAGAAUAUGUUUCAGUUAAAUAAAUGUAAAUACUAAACUGAUGUGUAGUGUGCAUACCAGUAAUAAGGGUAUGCGUACUGAUUUUGUUUUCUUAUACGCCCGAAGGGACGUAUUAUGUUACGACGCCGGUGUCCGU
rnacentral:lncRNA from 1 species